AUAUGAAAGCUCAUAUUGGUAAAAACAACCAAAUAUAUUUAGUAGCAACAAAUAAAAUUUGGUUAAAUUUACCAAUUACUCUUUGUGGUCAAUGGGGUAUAUUUGUAGACUUCUGGUUCUAUGUUCUAUUGAAUCCAAUAAAAUAUGCUAGAAUGCUAUAGCACAUUCUAAAUCCUAUGGCUAUAGAAUAUUCUAUAGGACUUCUUAUGAUCUUAUGCUAUAUAGAAUUCCAUUGCCGUAUUCUAUAGAAUUCACAAAUCCUAUAGAAUUUACAAAUCCUAUAGAAUAUUAAAUCUUAAAAUUAAAUUUCUCAGCAAAAAUCACUCGUUUUGUAAGGACAAAUCACACAUGCAUGUAUCUGUAAACUGUCUUCAUAAUAUACCUGUUCGCAGGUUACGUGGCGGGCGUUUUGCCCAAAGAGGACCGCAAGGUUAUGUGGGACUUGUAUAACCGACACGCGUUAUUUUCAAAUUUUGAGCGCGUCUUUGACUCUUUGUCAUCGGUUCAAGGUUUUAUAGUAGAAUUUAGUGAGUUUUUCUUUCGUAUUUUAACAUAAAAUACGCGUUAUUUGAAUUUGUCAAUGAGUAGUCAUGCGAAAUUGGUGAAACACGCUGGAUUAAUAUGCGAGGAGAUCCGAAUUAUUUGUGAAUAGUGACUGUGAUCGCGAGGAAGAAGUAAUUGUGUCAUGGCCAUGUGGAAUUUCUAAAGUUGAUAAGAAAAUAAUCAAAGGUUCCAUUCAACUAUCUACAAUUUCAACAACAACAUGUGUACAGCUAAAGUAUUAUAAUUCAGUGGCUUCAAGAUCACCUUUAAGUGCAAGAUUCUUGUGACUGAUGCUGAAUCAGAAAUCCUCAAAUUCUGAUGCUGAAUCAGAAAUCCUCAAAUUCUGAUGCUGAAUCAGAAAUGGCAAGUAUUAUUGUAUUUAUGCUGUCAAAACUCAACAACUGUAAAUCCUACUUCUGGUGAAUCAUAUAGAUAAUAUAAUAUACCUUUUAUUUAUAUCAUUAUAAAUAGGGCCAUUACAACUAUUUCUGUCAAUGCUUUUGCAGUACAUUUAUAAAUUCUAUAGCUAUAUCAUGGCAUCAUGCUAAGAAUGAAUAAGGUGUCAAAUGUUUAAAUUUCAUAUUUACUGUUAAAAUUUACAGAUUUUCUUAUAUCCAAACAUAUUAACCAAAGGUCAAAAUUUGGUUUAUGCAAUUAUGGGCAUGUCAAGGAUGCAAGAACAACUUUGCUCUCAUUCCAUCCCUGGGAAACUUUCAAAUUAUGCCUUUAAAGAAAAGGAUGCAAAACCCCAACUCGACCCAGAGAAAGUUAAGAGUAUAUGUGGUAAGUAGUAAUUGUUAGUAACUAUUUGUGGAAGUUAAUAUAUCUUAUAUACAUAUCUUGGUUUAUCUAAUUGUUGACUUUUACUUUUUCUGUGUGUAGAGCAUCAUUUCGAUGCACAUGGUUAAGAUGCCCAAACAUUGAUUCAAAGAAGCCAUCAAUGCUGGCUGUUCUGGAAAAGAACAAGAACAAAGAUGUCCAACACAUUAUUGGUCUAUUAGAGGAUUGUCACCCGAACUAGAAAAAGGAUGACAGUGGUGUUGAAAUUUAGACCAUUGUAAAAAAAGAACAUUCCCGAAGUUGCUAUUAACUGGAUCUCUUGGUUACAUCCAUUCACUGGACCUUUUGGCUGAAGGCAUGGUAGCAAUAAAGUUUAAGCAGUUUUCCAUCUUAAAUGCUGUUGUGUGUUUGCUGACUGCAUUGUAUGUAUCCAACGCAGAGAACCCUAAAGAUGGAGGUGGGUAGACAAAGAAUGUGUUCCUUCUUCUGGACCAGA